rnacentral:rRNA from 1 species
UACGUAGGGGGCGAGCGUUGUCCGGAUUUAUUGGGCGUAAAGAGCGUGUAGGCGGCUAGGUAGGUCCGUUGUGAAAACUCGAGGCUCAACCUCGAGACGCCGAUGGAAACCAUCUGGCUAGAGUCCGGAAGAGGAGAGUGGAAUUCCUGGUGUGGCGGUGAAAUGCGCAGAUAUCAGGAAGAACACCCGUGGCUAAGGCGGCUCUCUAGUACGGUACUGACGCUGAGACGCGAAAGCGUGGGGAGCGAACAGG